GAUGAACGCUGGCGGCGUGCCUAAUACAUGCAAGUCGAGCGAACAGAUGAGGAGCUUGCUCCUCUGACGUUAGCGGCGGACGGGUGAGUAACACGUGGAUAACCUACCUAUAAGACUGGGAUAACUUCGGGAAACCGGAGCUAAUACCGGAUAAUAUAUUGAACCGCAUGGUUCAAUAGUGAAAGACGGUUUUGCUGUCACUUAUAGAUGGAUCCGCGCCGCAUUAGCUAGUUGGUAAGGUAACGGCUUACCAAGGCAACGAUACGUAGCCGACCUGAGAGGGUGAUCGGCCACACUGGAACUGAGACACGGUCCAGACUCCUACGGGAGGCAGCAGUAGGGAAUCUUCCGCAAUGGGCGAAAGCCUGACGGAGCAACGCCGCGUGAGUGAUGAAGGUCUUCGGAUCGUAAAACUCUGUUAUUAGGGAAGAACAAAUGUGUAAGUAACUAUGCACGUCUUGACGGUACCUAAGCAGAAAGCCACGGCUAACUACGU
rnacentral:rRNA from 1 species